GGAGAUGUGGCUUAGUGGCACAGUGCCUGCCUGGCAAGCACAAAGUCCUGAGUUCAAUUCCCAGUACCA
rnacentral:tRNA from 1 species